UUAAUUGCCUCUAAAAGUUGAUUAGAAAAGAGUUUAUUAACAUAUGCAUAACUAUGACAUGAACUCCUUUAUUAUUUUGGAUUAAGUUGGAUUUAAACUGCACCGUUGUAAAUCUAAUCAAUCAAGUUUGCAUUUAAAUAAUUUUUACAUGUUAAAAAUUAAUUUGAAUUUCCAAUCUCUAUCUAUUCAAGAAAGGCCUUUGGUGUUAUGCAUCUAUCUAAAGAAAUAAAUGAGCAUGUUGGCGACAAGUGGCAGAAAAUUUCUCCUCUUAUCUUGUGGAAGCUGGUUUUUUUUUUUUUUUUUUUAAUUAAUAUUGUGGAAGUUGUUGUUAUAAACACGUUGUCCUUACCUCUUAAUCAUUGGAGCAAUUUUAUAUUAUAUUUCACUGGGCAUCCCAAGGUGACACUAGUAGCAUCAAAAUCCUUUUUUUUUUUUUUUUUUUGAUGUCAUGCAGAAAAGUGGAUGGAUAAUUAGAUAUUCCAAAGGAUUAGAUUAAAGUUGCUCAUAAUCUAUUCAAUCUAGCUUCUAAUACUGAUAUUGCCCUUACUUUUGUUCUUCUUCUUGAUGGUUAUGGUUGGAAAUUGAUGCAUUGCUAAGGACAACUUGUUAAGUUUUAAUUUGAGCUUUAUAUUCGAUAUCUUAUUAAAAAAAAAAAAAAAAAUCUUUAAUAAAAACAAAAAGAGACGGCAUUGUCGUGUGGGUUGGGCAAUACAUUAAUAAAAUAAAAUUUCAAUUUUGGCCUACAAAAAUUGUAUAAAUUUACUUUACAUCCCCAUACCCAUCGACAUAGAUUCGUUACCGACCGACCCUUUCUAUUCCCCGUAAUUGUUUCAAGACCUACGGUUUUCUAAAAAUUGUUUGGAUCUAUCUUCUUUCUGUAACCAGAACCGUCUCAGUUGACCUUUCAAACCCACCUACAAUAAAAUUUAAAAAAAUAAAAUAAAAUAAAAAUCGGACGGACAGUAAUAGCCUUUUUUCUGCCUAGUGGGAUCCACUUGAUCAGAAUGAUGAUUCGCAAAGAUGAUGCCACAUGGCAUGAGGCUGUGGAGACAGCGAAGUUCCGUGUUCCAAAACCAAUCCAAAGACUAAAAGGAAAGAAGAGUCAGAUAUUCUAGAUUUUACUGUUGUCAGAUCAACACUAAUCCGUCACUCGACACGUGUCCUCAUCCUAUACGGAUUUUUUUACACGAUUGCCCCUCUCUUCCAAUCCCCUAUGUAAUCGGUUGGUUUUUUUUUUCUCUUUUUUUUUUCUUUUUUUUUUUUUUAAUAAUUUCUCUCUCAUCGGCUGGAAAAUUUAGCACUUUUCUUUUCCUACACAACCACGUUUCUCUGGAUCCGAAAACUCUCACAAAACUUCACUCCCCUUAAUCGUCUCGUUCUUUCUAUUUUUUGUUUUGUUCUUUUUCUUUCCACGGAUGAUAUAGAAACCUGGAGACCCUUUUCGCUUUUUGCCAUUUCAACCAGCAUUGUGGUGGAAAGAUUGGCUAUUACGGUGCAGUUUGAAUGUUGCUGUUGGGUGUUUAGAGUUUGUUAUUGGGGCCGCAUACCAUAAUUCACUCUACCUUCAGUUCUUUAUCACGUUUUUGGAUUGACCGUGUUUGACCGUAAUUUUUCUAUUUUUGAAAUAGUUGUUAUUUUGCUACCUUUUAGGCUUUAGGAGAUUUCAGAUCUGGUGUGUUUGUUAGGUUUGGGGUUGAUAAGCUACUGCAGAUGUCCUUAUAUGGACAUUUUUUUUUUCGUAUACGCUUUGGAAGUUUUUUUGGGUGUCUGUGAUUUUGGUGUGAUCUGUGUUAUUUUGCGUUUGUUUUAAUUAAUUUUGUUGUCUGUUUGGAUUUUUGAUGGAACCAGAGUUUUACGUACGGCUUUUAAGAGUGUCUUCUAAUAUCAUAUGGUAGUAAAAGUCAUACAAGCUGAAAUAUUGGUGUA